AAAAAAAAAAAUUGGGCUACUCUUAUUACAAAUUCGCUACUUUUAGACCGUCAGCUCGCUACUUUCAGCAAUUUAGCUCUGGCAUCCCUGGGCAGCGGUGCGCGGGCCCAGAGCUUCAGGCAGCUGCACCACCACGUUGUCUCCGCAGAAAUUUCCAUGAUUUGUGAUUUCUAUCGCGACAAUGGAGAACAGAAACUGCGGAGAACACGACUCGAGCAAUAAUCCUCCCGUCGUUAUGGAUAAGAAUGCCCAGGGUUGCGGAGAUAGGAACUUACAGAGCGGAGACAUAGAUAAUACAUAUGUAAUACUCUCUUCCUCUGAAAUGACGGAGAAAGAAUUAAGAGAGGAUUCUAAAGAACAGGGCGUGCAGAGUGAAGCCACCGGCGUGUUGGAGGAAGAAUUAAGAGAGGAUUUCAGGGAACGGAAGGGUGAAGCCACCCAAAUUCUAGAUAAAGAAUUAACAGAGGUUUCCAGGGAACAGAACGUGCAUAGUGAAACCAUCCAGGCACUAGAUGAAAAAAUAAAAAAGGAUUGCCAGGUUCAAAACUUAACAUGUAAACUCGACCAUUUGAUGAAUGAGGGAGAUAUGGAGUGCAGCAAGCAAAGUGGAAGUAGAAUAACUAAAAUGUUGGGUGAGAGACAACAGGAGCUCGGUGAACAAAGUGAAAUUACCAUGUUGGAUAAAAGACAAAAAGAGUGCGGGAAGGAGAUUGGAUUUAGUCAUCUAUUGAAUUAUAAACAUGAGUCUAGCGAUCAGAGUGGAAUGACUCAAAUGUUAGAUAUGAAACAACAGGAGGGCAGCAAUGAAAUUGGAUUUUCCCCUCUGUUAACUGAAAGACAACAGGAGAACAACGAUCAAAGCUUCCACAGUCGACUUACUCAGAUGUUGGAUGAUAUAAAUCAGGAAUAUAGUGAGUUGAACUUUCAGAAUAGAAUUACUCGGCUAGUGAACGAAGGAAAACAGGAGUAUAACGAACAGAACUUGCAGAGUAAACUGAAUCAAAUGUUACAGGAUAAAAGACAGGAAUGUAAUGAACAGAAGUGGCAGAGUGGUUUGCACUAUAAGAGACAGGAGUAUAAGGAAGAGAACUGGCACAGUAGACUCAAUCAGACAUUGCGAGAUAAAAGAGAGGAGUGUAGUGAACAGAACUGGCAGGGUAAAGUUAAUCAGAUGUUGUAUGAUAUUAGACAGGAAUGUAACGAACAGACACCGCAGAGUAAUCUUACUCAGACGUACGUUAAUAAACAGGAGAGAAGCAUGCAGAGUGGAUUUACUCGCUUGUUCGAUAAAAUAAACAUUGAGAGCAGUAAGCAGAAUGACAAUACAAGAGAUGGGAGCAACGCGCAGAACUUGCUGGGUGGAUUUACUGAUAUGUUGAAUGAGCUCAGACAGGAGUUUUGCUAUAAGAACCGGCAAAAUAUACCCACUCGUGUGAUUGAGAAAAGGCAAAGUGGCAGAGAGCAGAACUGGCAGAAAGGGCUCGACACUCCUAAUGAGCGACUCGGUUGUCUGUUAAUGUCUUCACGACAUAGUGAUCUCAAACUUAACUUCCGAGACAAAAAUGCUUUCUUCAAGGUUCAUAAAUUAGUUUUGGCCAUGACGUCACCGGUGUUUGAGGCCAAACUCUUCUCAUCUGAUGUGAUCAUUCAAGAGCUUACUCUUACGGAUAACCCGGAUGACAGCUUCCGCUGGUUAUUACAGUACAUGUACACUGGGUGCACCAAGUUGCCCUCUGCAAACAUUUGUCUCCAGGUCACCCAUCUGGCUGUCAAAUACCAAAUAGAUGCCCUCUUCACUGUUUGUGCCCGUUACCUGGACAAGGUCCUGUGCAAGGAUAACCUACUGGAUAUCUACAACGCCGCCGUCGCCAUAGACAACAAACGCCUUCUUCAUGCGUGCAGGAUGCAGGGAGGUGUUGUCGUCCCAGAAGCUUGGUGACCUUAGUCGUGACGCACUCAAACAUAUGUUGAAGGAAGGAAUUAUUUCAUCCGGCACUGCCAUCUUUAGAAUUAUCCUAAGCUGGGGUAAAGCUCAACUAUUGAAACAGAAACGGGAACCAACCAAGGUGGCUCUUCGACAAGAGAUAAAUGAUUUCCUUCCUCUAGUGAACUUGUCGACCAUGUCUGUCGAAGAUAUUGCCAAUCAUAUUAUUCCCUCUGCA
rnacentral:misc_RNA from 1 species